rfam:Eutrema salsugineum unplaced genomic scaffold scaffold_10, whole genome shotgun sequence.
GAAAGUGAUGAUUUGUAAUUGUCGCCCCAGUCUUACUAGCAUUCGAUGCAAUAUGGUGAUUGACUUUCUUUAUCUGGUUU